AGAAGAUCCUGGAACAACGUAUUUCAAACACUGAAAGACAAUGGAUGCCAACCAAGAAUUCUGUAUCCAGCAAAAUUAAGCUUCAGGUACGAUAACGAAAUAAAAAUCUUUCAUGAUAAACAAAAGCUAAAAGAAUUUGCAGCCAGAAAACCAGCAUUGCAAAGCAUCUUGAGCAAAACACUACACGAGGAAGAAAUGAAAGACAAUAACCAAAGCCAACAGUGGGAAGUACCUCAGUAAAGACAGACGGAGGGGGGAAAGCUAAUCAUGGAGAAACAAACUAAAUUAAAGAAAAAAAAAGAGAUAAAUAAUCAAACAUGGCUGGAAGUACAAACCAUAUAUCAAUAGUAACUCUAAACGUUAAUGGUUUAAACUCUCCAAUAAAGCGACAUAGGCUGGUAACAUGGAUUAAAAAAACAAAUCCAACAAUAUGCUGCCUCCAGGAGACACAUCUGACUGGAAAAGACAUACACAGGCUGAAGGUGAAAGGUUGGGAAAAAGUAUACCACGCACACGGUCCUCGCAAGCAAGCAGGGGUGGCCAUCCUCAUAUCGAAUAAAAUCGACUUCAAGACUAAGUUAAUCCAAAGGGAUAAGGAAGGACAUUAUAUACUGUUAAAAGGAACCAUUCACCGACAAGAUAUAACAAUUAUCAAUAUUUAUGCACCAAAUAAUGGUGCUGCGACCUUCAUAAAACAAAUUCUCCUCAAGUUCAAGAAUCAAAUAGACCACAACACAAUAAUUAUGGGUGACUUCAACACACCUCUCUCACCAUUGGACAGAUCCUCCAAACAAAAGUUGAAUAAAGAAACUAUAGAACUCAAUAUCAC
rnacentral:lncRNA from 1 species